rnacentral:rRNA from 1 species
UGGGGGAUAUUGCACAAUGGGCGAAAGCCUGAUGCAGCAACGCCGCGUGAGGGAAGACGGUUUUCGGAUUGUAAACCUCUGUCUUCGGUGAAGAAAAAAAUGACGGUAGCCGAGGAGGAAGCCACGGCUAACUACGUGCCAGCAGCCGCGGUAAUACGGAGGUGGCGAGCGUUGUCCGGAAUUACUGGGUGUAAAGGGAGCGCAGGCGGGGAAACAAGUCAGCUGUGAAAACUAUGGGCUUAACCCAGAAACUGCAGUUGAAACUGUUGUUCUUGAGGGGAGUAGAGGUAGGCGGAAUUCCGAGUGUAGCGGUGAAAUGCGUAGAUAUUCGGAGGAACACCAGUGGCGAAGGCGGCCUACUGGGCUCUAACUGACGCUGAGGCUCGAAAGUGUGGGGAGCAAACA